CAAAUGAAUUGACGGGGGCCCGCACAAGCGGGGAGCAUGUGGUUUAAUUCGAUGCAACGCAAAGAACCUUACCUGGCCUUGACAUCCAGAGAACUUAGCAGAGAUGCUUUGGUGCCUUCGGGAACUCUGAGACAGGUGCUGCAUGGNUGUCGUCAGCUCGUGUUGUGAAAUGUUGGGUUAAGUCCCGCAACGAGCGCAACCCUUAUCCUUUGUUGCCAGCGGUUCGGCCGGGAACUCAAAGGAGACUGCCGGUGAUAAACCGGAGGAAGGUGGGGAUGACGUCAAGUCAUCAUGGCCCUUACGGCCAGGGCUACACACGUGCUACAAUGGCGCAUACAAAGAGAAGCGACCUCGCGAGANCNAAGCGGACCUCAUAAAGUGCGUCGUAGUCCGGAUUGNAGUCUGCAACUCGACUCCAUGAAGUCGGAAUCGCUAGUAAUCGUAGAUCAGAAUGCUACGGUGAAUACGUUCCCGGGCCUUGUACACACCGCCCGUCACACCAUGGGAGUGGGUUGCAAAAGAAGUAGGUAGCUUAACCUUCGGGAGGGCGCUUACCACUUUGUGA
rnacentral:rRNA from 1 species